rnacentral:lncRNA from 1 species
GGAAGUGGGAGUUGCUAAUCAGAGAAUAAGAAGUUUCAUUUAUGCAAGAUAAUUUGGAGGUCAAGAAAAAGAAGAUCAGAACUACAGCGGUCUCAUGUAGCUGGCCAAGCACUGGAGAUCAGGGAUAUGAAGGUGCCCUGGACUUCAGAGGUCAAGACGCCAAAGGAAAUGCAGCCUCUGCAAGAAUGUAGAGUUUGUUUUCUGACAUUUCGUGAAGUGGCAUUGAAAGUAGCAACCCCAGUUACUUCCCUCCAGACGUCCGACAUGGGAAAUGGUACCCACCAAGCCCUUUAGGCUCACAGUCUCUGCAGCGAAUCAGGAGUUGCUGAAGGUCCUGAUCUCGGGGUUGUGGGACUGAACCCUGUAUCAGGCUCUUGCUCACCACGGAGUCGGCUUGUCCGUUUCCCUCUGCUCCUCCCUUCACUUGCU